GCGAACGCUGGCGGCAGGCUUAACACAUGCAAGUCGAGCGGGCGUAGCAAUACGUCAGCGGCAGGCGGGUGAGUAACGCGUGGGAACGUACCUUUUGGUUCGGAACAACACAGGGAAACUUGUGCUAAUACCGGAUAAGCCCUUACGGGGAAAGAUUUAUCGCCGAAAGGAUCGGCCCGCGUCUGAUUAGCUAGUUGGUAGGGUAACUGGCCUACCAAGGCGACGAUCUAGUAGCUGGUCUGAGAGGAUCGACUCAGCCACACUGGGACUGAGACACGGUCCCAAACUCCUACGGGAGGCAGCAGUGGGGAAUAUUGGACAAUGGGGGAAACCCUGAUCCAGCCAUGCCGCGUGAGUGAUGAAGGCCCUUAGGGUUGUAAAGCUCUUUUGUGCAGGGAAGAUAAUGACGGUACCUGCAAGAAUAAGCACCGGCUAACUUCGUGCCAGCAGCCGCGGUAAUACGAAGGGUGCUAGCGUUGUUCGGAAUCACUGGGCGUAAAGCGUGCGCAGGCGGCCAUACAAGUCGGGGGUGAAAUCCUGGGGCUUAACCCCAGAAUUGCCUUUGAAACUGUAUGGCUGGAGUCCCGGAAGGGUUGGCGGAAUUCCUAAUGUAGCGGUGAAAUGCGUAGAUAUUAGGAGGAACACCAGUGGCGAAGGCGGCCAACUGGACGGGCACUGACGCUCAUGCACGAAAGCGUGGGGAUCAAACAGGAUUAGAUACCCUGGUAGUCCACGCCCUAAACGAUGAGUGCUAGCCGUUGGGGGUUUAACCCCCGGUGGCGUAGCUAACGCGUUAAGCACUCCGCCUGGGGAGUACGGCCGCAAGGUUGAAACUUAAAGGAAUUGACGGGGACCCGCACAAGCGGUGGAACAUGUGGUUCAAUUCGAGGCAACGCGAAGAACCUUACCAGGCCUUGACAUGCCCUCUGUGGAACUGAGAGAUCAGUUCCUUCACCUCGGGUGGGAGGAGCACAGGUGCUGCAUGGCUGUCGUCAGCUCGUGUCGUGAGAUGUUGGGUUAAGUCCCGCAACGAGCGCAACCCUCGUCCUCUGUUGCCAACAGGUAAUGCUGGGAACUCUGAGGAAACUGCCGGUGAUAAGCCGGAGGAAGGUGGGGAUGACGUCAAGUCCUCAUGGCCCUUACGGCCUGGGCUACACACGUGUUACAAUGGCAGUGACAAUGCGCUGCGAACCCGCGAGGGUAAGCCAAUCGCAAAAAGCUGCCUCAGUUCGGAUUGUACUCUGCAACUCGAGUACAUGAAGCUGGAAUCGCUAGUAAUCGCGCAUCAGCUCGGCGCGGUGAAUACGUUCCCGGGUCUUGUACACACCGCCCGUCACACCAUGGAAGCCGGUUCUGCCUUAAGUCGUCCUUUAAUGGGCGCCCACGGCAGGGUCGGUGACUGGGGUG
rnacentral:rRNA from 1 species